rnacentral:lncRNA from 1 species
CCUAGCUUUUGCUCUGUCUAUGAAUAAUGAAUAAUGAUCAAGGGGGUGCCUCCUCCAGGGGCCAGGGGGUCUGGUUUUAUAGUCCCCUCAAGUGAACCUGGGCCGUCGGAUCAAACCGACAUUGAUUGAACGGUUAUUCUUGAUCCUUUAGGUCGGUGGAGCAUAAUCCGCGAGAUUGAGCGUGAUUGGCCGAAAAAGGUGGGCGGGCGCCCUAAGGACUUGGGCGGGCACCCUGUCCCUGACUUCGUUCGGUCUCCGCUUCCUUCCCGUGGCUUCUGGAGUCUUCUAGAUGUAAGAUAAUUGCGCGGCACGUUGAUAUCUCUAUGUAAUCCCGACGUGUGGGCCUUUCUUCCUUAUUUCCUGAUAACCCCCUGCAGAAAUAGACAAACACCAAAACUCAUGGAAUUCUGUUAGAUAAAACCCUAAGUCUCGAUGUUGAUUUCAUUUGGAUCCUUUUCUUUGUUUAUUUGAUAGUUAAAUUUGAUACUUAAGGACCGUCAACAAACUCCCCCAAGCUUACCUCUUGCUCGUCCCUGAGCAAGGAUAGACUCAGCUAUGGAUCAUAAGUUGUUGCAAUAUCUUUAAAAAUUGACGGUACACAUGCUUUUAAAUGAGAUCUCAUCUCUGAGAGUAAACUGUCAAGACUUAAAACUUAUUUACUUUACCUUUUACCAUGGGACUUGUAACCUUCACUUCUGUCUUGAGUGGUUAAAAGAUAGAACAGUCCAGUCAAGUGCCAUGUCGCUUAUUCUUUAUCAGCUAUAGCACUGGAGUUUUUUUUUGCAGAUUUUCAAAUAAAACUCAGAGAUUCCUUUGUAUGACUCUCUCAUAUCUCUCUUUUGUGGUAUUUCUGGAUCCUUACCAAGGCAGUGAUGGUAUAUGCCUUCUCUCAAAAUAUGUGGUAUUUGUGGUAUAAGGGAUAGUGACAUUGUCUUCACUCUCACCCUACUCUAAUAAGGCUUUAAUAUCUGGAGCUCAUAGGUGGGAGACAAAAUAUACAUACUUACAAGACAUUUAUUGUAUAGUCAAACCAUGGAUCCAAAGAAACAAAUCAAUAAGCCAAAUCAAGAUGUGCAUGUGUGGCGAAUGAAUAGUGUAUGGUGAUGAUGGUGAUAACAAUGGUGAAAGUCUAAUUCUACUUUUGCUCUUUUGAGGGGAUACAUACCUUCCUUGCUUUUUGAAACUUUAUGAGGAGAAUGAGAUGCUCUUCUUUUUCUUUUCUCUCAGAUGGGUAUCCUGUACCCCUAAUUCUACUGUCGGACACUUGUCCAUUUUUACCUCUCGUCUCACUCUUUUUCUUUUCUUUCGAGGUUCCGGGCACUUGCCCCUUUUUAUUUCCUCGUUUAUUUAUUUUUUUUUCUUUUUUUUCAGAGCACUCAUCUCUUGAGAUAAUAUAGCAAGUGGUAGUAGCAAGAUAACUUGAGCUUUAAAUUAUAACAGUUAUGUCUAAACUUGAGAGAGAACUUCAAAUUUGCAAAUUAGGCAGAGCAACUAUUGAUCAUAUCCAUGCUAGAGUUUUAUUAUUAAGAUUCAGAUUAGCAUAGCCACUUUAUUUAUUUAUUAAACACACUGAGCAAAAGAUAUAUAUAUAUAAGCACAAAAUCUUUAUUUGGUUUUUCAUAGUUUAUGUAUUUUAAUAUUCUAAUAUAAUAUAAGUAUAAAGAUAGGUAGAAAUACUUAGCGAGAUAAAUGGGGGUGCUCUCCCCCAAGCUGAAUUUUGACGUAAUUUCUCUUGAUGUAGCUAGCAGGUGGCAGAGGUGUAUUUGAAAGUCAGCAGCAUUCUGACAGCGAUUAGAAUGUCCUCCGUCUGCUAGUCUUCUUGAUUCUUAAAUUCUGUGGAGCUCAAAUAGACAACAAAGCUUGUGGAACUAAUUAAGUGUUAGCAUAAAUAUCUAGCCUUCAUCACGUUGAGCUUCCUCAAUGAAUAUUACUCCCUGUUUUUAUAUUUUUAUUUUAUAAAGUAGAAAAGAAAUAUUUAUUUUAUUUUUAUGCCACCACAGUGAAGGUACCUAUGGGUUUUAUGCCACUCGUAUACUCACAUGGGGUUUAGUAUUUUUUAACAUUUUUAUUUUCUUUUCAAGAUAGCAUGAUUAACUAAUAAUCUAUUUAAGGAAAGUAAAUAAUUAAAUGGAAAAGGAAAUGCAGAAAGGAUAAAUACCUUUCGGCGAGGGUUCAAUGUUUUAAGUCUUCUUGUCAAGACUUCUCAUCGUGUUCAUUCUUCAGGUGCGUCAUUUGAUUCAGGUGCGGACCUUGACGUCUGCACCUUUUAAUACGGUGUCACCCAUGUUCUUCGUUUGCCCAGCAGUUUGAAGUGCGGUGUUAGCAGUAUCUUGCUCAGUGUGUUUAUGCUCGUAGUGUACCUGCUCAUAGAGACAAGGCAGAGAUCAAGUGCAUGGGCCCUGUUGGUGGAAAACACCAACAGAACCAAAAGUGUAUUUGUUCUUCUCUAACCUUAAGCAUUGUUGAUGCGAAACUGAUCUGCAAACACAAAGGGCUAAUACCCGAUUCGAAUGUUAAGGCGUGCCAGCCGAUUUAACCUUGCUAUCGGCAAAGGUGAUAACUCGAAUACUUUAGUCCUGACAACAGCGAUGCGCCCGGAUGUCACGGCUAAGAGGUACUCACGCGGAACUCGAGAACACGCCGAGCUUAAGUCGACGAAUUCCUAAGAACUCGUAAUAAAAGGAAAAAAGUAUGACGAAGUCGUCGAAAAGUAAAUGCUGGAAUAUGAGU